rnacentral:rRNA from 1 species
AAAUUGAAGAGUUUGAUCAUGGCUCAGAUUGAACGCUGGCGGCAGGCCUAACACAUGCAAGUCGAACGGUAACAGGAAGCAGCUUGCUGUUUCGCUGACGAGUGGCGGACG